UACGUAGGGCGCGAGCGUGUCCGGGAAUUAUUGGGCGUAAAGAGCUCGUAGGUGGCUUGUUGCGUCUGGCCCUGAAAGCCGUGGCUUAACUACGGGUUCUGCGGUGGGAUACGGGCAGGCUAGAGCGUGGUAGGGGCAAGCGGAAUUCCUGGUGUAGCGGGUGAAAUGCGCGAUAUCAGGAGGAACACCGUGGCGAAGGCGGCUGCUGGGCCAGU
rnacentral:rRNA from 1 species